CCUAAGAUUUUUUAGGGUUACUGAUUUUAUUUUGCAAAACCUAGUAGCCGACAUAUUCAUCUCUUAUCCUCAUCUUAGUCACUAUCCCUCUUCUCCCUCAUUUUUCUUCCUCUCUGACUCUUUAUAUCAAUUUCAUAAUUUCUACAUCUUUUUCUCCUUCAAAUCUUAAUUAUUGUGAGAUCAAGACCAUUGAUUUUCAAACAAAUCGACCACCACAUGCAAUCAUAUUGUUAAUUGCUCGCCUCCAAUACAAUAUUCACAAUGAAAUCUGAAUUUGUUUGUCUCAUACAACGGAGUCGAGUACUGGGUCUUGCAAAAUGUCAAGUGCAGAAGGCAGUCCAAGUUUUGUUGGGACUCCCCUUGCUGAUGAUGAUAAUGAGAAGGUAGCCCAAGAAGGAA